rnacentral:rRNA from 1 species
UACGGAAGGCAGCAGUGGGGAAUAUUGCACAAUGGGCGCAAGCCUGAUGCAGCCAUGCCGCGUGUAUGAAGAAGGCCUUCGGGUUGUAAAGUACUUUCAGUCGUGAGGAAGGUGUUAAGGUUAAUAACCUUAGCAAUUGACGUUAGCGACAGAAGAAGCACCGGCUAACUCCGUGCCAGCAGCCGCGGUAAUACGGAGGGUGCGAGCGUUAAUCGGAAUUACUGGGCGUAAAGGGCACGCAGGCGGUUAAUUAAGUUGGAUGUGAAAUCCCCGGGCUUAACCUGGGAAUGGCAUUCAAGACUGGUUAGCUAGAGUCUUGUAGAGGGGGUUAGAAUUCCAUGUGUAGCGGUGAAAUGCGUAGAGAUGUGGAGGAAUACCGGUGGCGAAGGCGGCCCCUGGACAAGACUGACGCUCAUGUGCGAAAGCGUGGGGAGCAAAC